rnacentral:lncRNA from 13 species
CAGCUCUGGGCUACCUGUGGGUGGACUUCUGAGUGGGGAGGGGCACCAACCCCACUGCCGUUUAACCCACAGGGGACUCGGGAGUCAGUGUUUGGGUUGGUCAAUGCAAGACCGGUGGGGGUAGGCUCUGCCAGGAAUUAACGUGGGGAUCCCAGGAGAGGGUUGAGCCUCCCCCAUUUCCAACCGCAUCCACAGCCCAUUCUUAUUCCCAUCCACCCUCCCAUUCCCCACCAGUACCCAUAUUCUCUUCAGCCCCUACCAACCUCAUAAUUCCAAUUCCCCAACCCAACACAGACGCCCAUCCACGCAGCAUCCAGUUUCACCCCGUCACACCCAAGUGCCCGGAUGUGAUGCUACGGGCUUGCACACGGAGCGGGGGUGUUAGAGAGAAGCGCGGUUCUUGGUAUGACCAGCAGCUUGAGAUUGGCAGAGAGAAGCUGGCAAGGUUCUGUUAGGAGGCAAGGUUCCCCCUUCUCCAACUGGGAGGGCCAGGUUCCUUGGAGGCACAGGGGAGCACCAAGGAGAUCGGUAAGUAAGCCUUUGUUAGCGUCUCCAACGUUCGGUUCUCAGCUGAGGCCUCUCACACGGUUCCUCUCUCCCCAGGUUUGUGGGUCUUCAUUGCCCAGCUCCUGCCCACACUCCCACCUACUGUUC